GUCGAACGAAGCGCUUGGAUGGAAUUCUUCGGAAGGAAGCUCAAGUGACUGAGUGGCGGACGGGUGAGUAACGCGUGGGUAACCUGCCUCAUACAGGGGGAUAACAGUUAGAAAUGACUGCUAAUACCGCAUAAGCACACGUGAUCGCAUGAUCGAGUGUGAAAAACUCCGGUGGUAUGAGAUGGACCCGCGUCUGAUUAGCUAGUUGGUGGGGUAAUGGCCCACCAAGGCGACGAUCAGUAGCCGGCCUGAGAGGGUGGACGGCCACAUUGGGACUGAGACACGGCCCAAACUCCUACGGGAGACAGCAGUGGGGAAUAUUGCACAAUGGGGGAAACCCUGAUGCAGCGACGCCGCGUGAAGGAUGAAGUAUUUCGGUAUGUAAACUUCUAUCAGCAGGGAAGAAAAUGACGGUACCUGACUAAGAAGCCCCGGCUAACUACGUGCCAGCAGCCGCGGUAAUACGUAGGGGGCAAGCGUUAUCCGGAUUUACUGGGUGUAAAGGGAGCGUAGACGGCAGUGCAAGUCUGAAGUGAAAGCCCGGGGCUCAACCCCGGGACUGCUUUGGAAACUGUGCAGCUAGAGUGUCGGAGAGGCAAGCGGAAUUCC
rnacentral:rRNA from 1 species